rnacentral:rRNA from 1 species
UUGAACGCUGGCGGCAGGCCUAACACAUGCAAGUCGAGCGGAUGAAGGGAGCUUGCUCCUGGAUUCAGCGGCGGACGGGUGAGUAAUGCCUAGGAAUCUGCCUGGUAGUGGGGGAUAACGUCCGGAAACGGGCGCUAAUACCGCAUACGUCCUGAGGGAGGAAGUGGGGGAUCUUCGGACCUCACGCUAUCAGAUGAGCCUAGGUCGGAUUAGCUAGUUGGUGGGGUAAAGGCCUACCAAGGCGACGAUCCGUAACUGGUCUGAGAGGAUGAUCAGUCACACUGGAACUGAGACACGGUCCAGACUCCUACGGGAGGCAGCAGUGGGGAAUAUUGGACAAAGGGCGAAAGCCUGAUCCAGCCAUGCCGCGUGUGUGAAGAAGGUCUUCGGAUUGUAAAGCACUUUAAGUUGGGAGGAAGGGCAGUAAGUUAAUACCUUGCUGUUUUGACGUUACCAACAGAAUAAGCACCGGCUAACUUCGUG